rnacentral:lncRNA from 1 species
CUUCUGGUGCCAUAUAUCCUAUUGUUCCUCUUGCCCCUAAUAUUGACACAAUACUAUCCUUCUUUUGGCAUAUUUUCGCUAGUCCAAAAUCAGAGAUUUUUGGGCAAAAAUCAUCAUCCAAAAGAAUGUUUUGAGGUUUUAUAUCAAGAUGCAGAAUCCUUGAACUGCAUCCUUGGUGCAAGUACUCUAGACCUCUAGCAAUGCCAAUUGCUAUUUGGAACAAAGUGUUCCAAUCAAAAUCACAAAUAGCGUUAGGAAAUUCACUUUUAUAGAUGAACUUAUCCAAUGAUCCAUUGGGCAUGAAUUCAUAUAUUAGUGCUCUUUUGUCCACCUCAUAACAAAAGCCUAAAAGGGACACAAUGUUCAUGUGUGAUGUUCGACUAAUGCUAGCAACUUCAUUUAUGAAUUCUUCUCCAUUUCCUUUGGAUUCAUUUAUUACUUUCACCGCCACUUGACGACCAUCAAUUAAACUUGCUUUGUAAACAACACCAUAUCCUCCUUGGCCUAAUUUAUCCCGAAAUGAGUUUGUGAUCCUUUUUACUUCUGUAUAUCUAUACCUUCUUGGCAUCGAUAAAUUAUAACUCUGCAUGAAUAUCUCCACAUUGUUGUCCACAAGUUUCUUUCUUUUCCAGAAAAUGAUCUUAUGUUGUGUACCUAUACCCCUUUUAAGGUGAUAACUAACCAAAAUAAUUAAGAGCAUUGUUACUCCAAAUGCAACAAGCGAAGCACCUGAAUUUAUACAAAGAAUAAAUACAUAACUUUUAUCAGAUUUUUUAUAAAGUAAACGCCACCUCAGGGUGGGAUGAGAAACACUGAUCUUAGAAAGGGAAAUUUGUUUAUUUUUAUUACCUAUCACAAUAAAUCUCCACUUCCGUUUUGAACCUACAAAUCAAAAAUUCAAAUUAGAUAGAACAUAUUGUAAGCAUGCAUCUCUCUUGGAGAGAAUUAAUGGUCAUUUCUUUUCUCGUUGCUUUGUAUUUGCCUGCAGCAAUGAAGAGAAAUGGAGUCUGAAAAUACGUGCAUGCUGCUAAUUUAGGGGUCUAAAAGUUUGGGUCACAAUCCACAUGUUAAAAGGGCUUAAAAAACUGAUUGUUCAAUAGGUCUUUUGACACACAAUGAAAGUAAGGGUUAGCAAGCGCUAAACCUAAAAGAUAAACAGAUAGGUUGCAAGCGACAAACCUAUCAAAUAAGGGUUUCCGAAAUCCACCAGAAUUGAGAGAAAAGUCUUGAAUAUUUUUAUUGAAUGAAAAAGUUCCUCUUAGGUUGCAUAAGUUUUGUUUAAAUAUUGGGCGUUUAUUUUGGGGAACACAAAUUAUCUCAGGAAUAACAUACUCGGAAAUGAAAAUAUAAAAAUUUGAUUCUUGGGUAUUUGUUAAAAAAAGUGUUUAGCAAAUAACUUGACAUUCCUGGAAAUAUUGGAAGUUACAGAUUUUUUUUUUCUUUUUUAAAAUAUAUGCAUAAUAUCAUGGGAAUGCACAUUCCCACCUCUUUUCUUGGGAAUAAGAGAAAUUAUGGGAAGUUACUUCAUUUCCAGGAACCUUUAAACCCAGAAAUAUUUUUUCUCAACCUCAUAACAAACAUGUGUUUCUUUCCCAUCAUUUACGCGUAUCGUUUUUGGUUCUUAAAUAUUUGUUCAAACAAUUAUUUUGAUGAAUUGAAAUUAAAUAGUUAUUUUGGUGUAUUAAUUGUUGUUAGAACUGUGGUUGGACGGGUUGAAUGACUUAUAUUGAAAUACAUAAUUUGAAGUGAUCUGAACAUUCGUAAUGCAUUUUAUAUUCUUUUCCUAAUCUCUAAAUUACGUGAAUUGAUCUUUUUUUUCUGUUUUUCUUUUAUUGUUUCUUUCUAUGCAUAUAAAAUUGUUCACAAUAAUAGUGAUAAUAGUUAAAUAUGUUACUGAAUUUCAAAUGCAUGUGAAUUAACAAAAAAACCCGUGCAUCUCCCUAACCAUGUAUUUCCGAGAAUGUCAUUCUUAACCUUGAAACAAACACUGUAAAAUAGAAAAUUUUAGAAUAUGCUAAAAUAUUAAAAGGUAGUUUCGGGCCUUCACCUUCAGACAACCUCGAGUGACUAAAUUUACUCCUACAUCAUGGCAAGGCCAUGUGUUUUGCUUGUGAGGUCCAGGGCUUUCCGAAAAGGUAUAAUUUGGAUCAUUUCGAAUGACUAAAUUUACCCCUACAUUAUCUUUUAAAAAAAAAAUCAUUACCCACUUAUUUUAGAUAAAUAUAUGUAUUUCGGUCAUUUUUUUGAAACUGUAAAAUAAGUGAUCAAGGACUUGUAUUUUUUAGGGUAAUAAAGUAGUCGAAGUGGUUAAUGAAUUUCAUGUAAAAAAGGUGGUUAACAACAUACAAUUUUGUGAUUAAUGAAGUUACAAAGUGGUUAAUGGCACAACUCAAAUUUUGUGUUACAAAAAUCCUCCUCUAUAAAUAAAAAAGCAUUUUUUUUUUCAAUAAUAAGACUAGUGACAACAACAACACCAUUCAUUCUAAAUUUCGAACUCCACACGUCCCACUUACUCACAUUAAAAAGGAGAAUUUUUAGCUACAAUGCUAUUUGUAAAAAAAAAAAAAAAAAAAUUAAAAUGAAUCACCUUUAUAAUUUUCAAUGUAAUAUUGAUUAUCUUUCUAAUUAUAUCAUCUAAUUAAUAGUACUCCCAUUUAGGGGUGUUCAAACCGAUAAAAGACAAAACCACAAAUCAAUAAAAAAAAAAAAAAAAAAAAAAAGAGUUUCUAUGGUGCAGUCAGGAAACUGACUUUUUUGAAAAAGUUAAUUUUGAUUUUAUUGUUUGAUUCAUUUUUAAAUUAUUGAUUAUUGAUUAAUGAUCAAUAGUAAUUCAUCUAGUAAUGCUUGCAACAUCUUGGACUUACAUGUAUUAUUUUAUCGUUGGAAUCUUUAACAUGCAAAUAAAGUUGAUGAUAUUAUGUGAUAGUCUUAAGUGUUACACUUUAUAGGGUGUUAUACUUAUAACAAGGUAGGAUAAAAUUAGAUUAAGUGUAGUCUUGUUAAUCUGAUGAAUUGAUGAUACUAUGAAGACUGAACUUUUGAUGUCAUUGUAUAAAUUAAACAGUGGGGUGUUACUCAUUACAUUUUUGAUGUUAUAGUGUUAACUUCACCAAAAAAAUUAUUCUUAUGACUUCACCAUAGAAUUUUCCUAAAAAGAAAAAUACACCGUGAAAAAACCAUUUUUUAGACGUGUUUGGGUGUUUGUGAAAAUCGCUUCGAUCGCGGUUUUGACCACUUUUUCAUAACCAAACAACAUAAGUAAAUUUUAAUACUUGUAUAACUUUUUGUUAGUAUUAUAUAUUACGUUAACCUGUUGUUUGUGGUUUUUUUUAAGCUUAAAUGUGAAAAUAGUCCCUACAAAUAUCUGAUAUUUUGAUUUUAAUUCCUGUAAUUGGUUUUAGUCCCUGCAAAUAUAAAAAAAUUGAUUUUGGUCCUUGGUAUUUUGUUUUUGUCCUUGUAAAAUUGAUUCAUAUUGGAUUUGGUCCUUGUAAUAUGUAGAAUAUUUGAUUUUAGUACCUCAAAAUGAGGACUAAAAUGAAUAUUAUAGGGACCAAUUUUAAUAUGAAAUGAUUUUACAAGGAUUAAAACAAAAUACCAAAGACCAAAAUCAAAUAUUUUAUAUUUGCAGGGACUAAAACCAAAAAAAAUAUUUUUAGAGAGACUAAAAUCAAAACGCUAGAAAUUUGCAAGGACCAUUUCUAUAUUUAAGCCUUUUUUUAAAUUAUUUUAAAUAAUAAUUAUUUGUUUAAUUUAAUUUAUACUAGUGUAUUUACCCGGCGUUGUCUGGGUCAGACAUUUUCAAGAAGAUAAAAAAAUUAUAUGUAUGAUAUCCGCAAAUAAAAUUUAUCAUGGAUUGGUAUAGGAUGAAUAUCUUCAUAAAUACACACAAAUAUAAUAAAAUAUACUAUAUUAUAAAUACUCAUAAAUUUAUUGAUGCACGUAGAGAUAAAAUUAUUGGAUUUAGUAAAUAUAUUAACACAUAUAGAAUAAAAUUAACUUUUAGGAAUUUGUGUUAUUUCUGUUGAGAUAUUUUUGUUACAUAAAAUAUUAGAAAUUCAAUGAAAAAGUUAAAUAAAAUAUUUAAUAGAUAAGAUCAAAAGUUUGUUGAGAUAUUUAUGCCAAAUCAAAUAUUGAUUUAAAAAAAUAGAAAAAUAAUAAAAAUAUUGCAAAUAAAUGUGAAAGUGACACGUGGCAUAAAAAACCUUACUUAAUGUAUAUACUAUUGAUUGAUGAUUUAAUAGUUGAAGGGUAUCGUAUGUAAUUUGUUGAGAUAUUUCUGUUAUAUAAAAUAUUAGGAAUUCAAUAAGAAAGUUAAGUAUUGUUAAAAAAAAUAAGAAAGUUAAGUAAAAUAUUUAAUAGAUAAGAUCAAAAGUUUGUUGAGAUAUUUAUGAAAAAUCAAAUAUUGCUUUUAAAAAAUAGAAAAAUAAUAAAAAUAUUGCGAAUAAACGUGAAAGUGACACUUGGCAUAAAAAAUCUUACUUAUUAUAUAUAUACUAUUGAAUGAUUGAUGAUUUAUAUAGUUGAAGGGUAUCGUAUGUAAUUUGUUGAGAUAUUUCUGUUACAUAAAAUAUUAGGAAUUCUUAAGUAAAAUAUUUAAUAGAUAAGAUCAAAAGCUUUUUGAGAUAUUUAUGUCAAAUCAAUAUUGGUUUUAAAAAAAUAAUAAAAAUAUUGCAAAUAAACUAUAUACUAUUGAUUUUUACGUUCUAAUGCAUAAGUUUCAAAAAUAAUUGAUCAUUUUUAUUAUUUAAUAUUAAUUUUUUAAUAUAUUUUAGAGUUUAUUUAAUAUAUGUCCUCGGUGUACAAUUAUUUUACACAUAUAUCUAAUGAUGUGUUGCCACGUCAAUUAAAUAAUAUAACUUAUGUAUUUUCAUAUAUUCAUCGGUUAACGCGACAACACAUCGUUAAAUACAUAUGUAUAAAAUUGUAUAUUGACAUUGACAUGAUAUACUGAUUAAACUCUACAUUUUAUGUUAUAUUUUACGUAAUACAUUAUUUUAUGUAUAUUUUAACAAAAUCUGAUCAAAAUUAAACUUCAUUUAAAUCGAUCAGUUUUUUUUCUUUCAAAUAAUCAUCCAAACCACAUAUGAUUUUAUUUUAGAUUUAAUAUAUAUUUUUGUUUUAAAACGGACCUAAUUCGCACAUGUUCUCACAUAACUUCAACUUUACUUUUUGGUCAAGAAAUAACUUCAACUUUACAUUUAUUAUAACAUGAAUACACCUACUUAAUAAGUGUAAUUAUUAAUCCACCAAAAAAAUAUUUCCUCCGUUUCGGAUUAACUAAGCCAAAACCUCAUUUCAAACGUAUUAAGAAAAAUGUAAAUGAAGGAGAGAUAAAAAUAGUUUUAAGUACAUUUGUUAAGUAUUGGUGCAUUCUCCAAUAUCAUAAAUGUAAAAUGGAAUAUAUUGAAUUGAAAAUGAUGAAAGUAGUAUUAAUUAGAGUUAUAAAUGGAAAAAAGUAAUUAAUAUUGUAUUGAAAAGUGAAAUGACUCAGUUAUUUUAGGAUACUUUUUUUUUUUUUUUGCAAAUGACUCAGUUAUUAUGGGACGGAGAGAGUAAUAGUGAUUAGUAAGUACUACCUCCGUCCCUAAUUAUAAGACCCUUUUGAAGAAAAAAAAUUGUCCUUUUUUAUAAGACCCCUUUUGCUAUUUCCAACUACAUUAAUUAUUUCUUUACAUACAUAUCCCUAUUUAUUAUACAUCUUUUUCUUCAAUUAGCAAUAAAUAACGUAUGGAAAAUAUAAACUAACUCUCUCUCUUAAAGAUAAAAUUAUAAAAACAAUAGUGAUUACAAAUAACUUUAAUACAAAUAUUCACUUUCUUAAUUCCCGUAAUUUUAACAAAAAGGUCUUAUAUAUAGAGACGAAGGUAUAGUACUCCCUCCGUCCCAAAUUGUAUGACGUUUUGGACAUUUCACACGUAUUAAGAAAUGUAAUUAAUUUUGUGUGGAAAAGAGAUAUUAUGAGUUGUUUUACAAAAUUGUCCUUAAUAAAUGAUAUGAGAAAGAUAAAUGAAUGAUUUGGGAGUAGAGAAGGCAAUAAAUAGUGAAGGAUAUAAUAAGAAAAGUAACAUUAAUGAUUCAUUGAUAUUGUAAAACGACAUACAAUUUGGGAAGAAAAAAAAUUCCAAAGUGACAUAUAAUUUAGGACGGAGGGAGUAGUAUAUUAUUCAUACACGUUCCUUACUACAAUUUUCUUAUGGUCAAUGAACCAUUUUCUAUUCCAUCAUUUCUUCUCAAUUUCAUAACAUAGGAGUACCAUUUUCUCAACAAAAAAAAUAUAAAAUUAAACAUGUGUACACGUACUGUGUUCAGGUCUUUAGACUAAUUAAACUAUUAAAGUCCUCCAAUGUCAUAAUAGAAUAUUAAUUUGUAAGCUAAGGAUUGCUUUAUUUAUAAACAUACAUGUGUUCAUAUAUCUCAUUAGUCCUCUAAUGUGGGACUGUUAGUGUUUAUGAAUAAGGACUAAGUAAACUAUAAUGUAAAAAAAUAAUAAGUUCGUAUUAGAUUACCAUUAAUAAAAUAAAGCAAUUUGCAAACAUCUUUAGACAUACCUGAUGGAGAUUUUUGAGACUGUCCAUUAGAGCAAGGUUGGUCUCCACAGUAACAGGUUGUUUGCCUUGAAGUCCAGUUAUAACCACAAAAUCCACCUGAUUUUUGACACUUCUCACAAUCUUGAAUACCAGCUAUCCAUCUCACCACAAAUUCACCUCCGAUUGCACUUCGUAUUCUAGUCAAAUCACCAACAGCAAUCAACGAAUUCAAGACUGGAACAACCAUACUUUCUCGGCAUGAAAAAGCUUGAGGAUCAAGAUUAUACCCAAACCAAGUAUAAACAAAUUCAUCAGAAUAUCCAUUUGAAGGACAUAGAAAGCGCCCGUUCAAAGGGAAAGUAAUUGAAGGUGGACAACCAUAGAAGAGUGUAAGAUUAUUGUAGUCAGGACCAUAAACAAAGAGGUCGGGGUCUAAUGUUGUGUUGACAAGUUUUGUUGGACAUAGUCCUUGCAAAUAGUCCUCUUUGGUGAUUCUCAAAGUAUGUUCAUCAGGUUUGGCUUCUAAAACAUUAUACUUGACUUCAUUGAUUGUUAUGUAGCUGGUAUUGUUUGUGCAAUUGAGAUUCAACAAAGGGUGGCCACACUCUUUUGGUCGAUCCUCUCCCCAGAAAGGAAAACCAAUUUGUUUUAUAUUUCCACAAUUAAACAGAUUCUCACAACCUUCAUUUGUGCUCAAACAUAAAGGUAUCUGAAUCAGUUUCAAAAGGAUUAUGAACUGAAGAAAAUGGAGGAUAGGGUUGAUAUUAUACAUGGAAGCCAUGCUGAGAGAUCAAUGAACUAAAAGGAACUGGUUUAUGUAUUGACCAAAAGGAGUGAUGGAGCAGAGGUUUCUUUCUUGUGGAACAAAGUGGGAGUGAAUAAUAAUAGGAUUGGCGUUCUAGAGAUAGACAUAAAAUCUUGAUUUAGUCAGCUUAAAAUUAAUUUGAUUUUAACUCCCCUUUCACUUUCAUGUUUAUAUUAUGAAAAAUCAAUUUCAUAUUUCAAUGCAUCAUAAUUUCCAUACUUUGUGAAGUUUCUAGGAAGCUAUAAAAUGUAGAGUUUGAUACAUUAACUUAUGAGUGUUAUGCUUUCUAUUGAAGUAGAGGAUUGUUUUCAUUUGCCUAGAAACAUGUCCUACAUGAUCUUCAAUAUUUUUAGGAAAGGAAAUUGUUGUACUCAUAAAAUUGCUAAUACUGGUUUAUUUGUUAUUAGUUUCACUCGGUAGGGCAAUCUUCCAAAUGUUAUUACGAAGGAUUUUCAUAGAAAUAAGUUAGGAUUACCUAAACAUAGAUUUUACUAAUUUGAUGUUGAAUGAUGUUUUACUUUGCACUUUUUUCCCCUUCUCCUAUGUUUUAUUUAUUUGGAUUUUUUUUGGGGAAGGUUUCUAAUGAAGUAGAGAUUAGCAUUCACCUUGUGUAUUGCUUUGGGUUUGGUUUAGUUCAUCUAAGUUUGUGCAUUUUUUACUUUUAUUAAUGAUUUUUUUAGAGUGCAGAUAAUUAAUAAGUGAGGUUUUGGGGUGCUAACAUAUAGUUGGGAUGGCAUAGCUAUCAUUUGUUGUUUCACUUUAUUGCUUUAAAAAAAAGUUCCACAACCAACAAUAGAUUGUUACAAGUGGUAGAGUAUUUCAACCCAUUAAAAAAGUAGUCAAGGGUUUGAUCUCCAACUCUUACAUAUAGAGAAAUUCGGUUGGAAGAGGAAAUCUUUCUUUGUGUACUCCACAAGUUCCCAAACAAAAUUAUCCACGUUAAAUAUUGGUGAAAACUUCACACAUAUAACAACCAUAAACAAAAAAGUUCAACAAAUUAUUAUGUGCUAUGCUAACAAGUGAUAAUUGGCAUUCAGAGCAGUACUAAUAAUUUGAGUCUUUUAUAAACUAGUGUUGCGUUAGACACUGAUACAAACACCGACAUAAAGGCAUAACGGACACAUGUCGACACCAGUACAAAUUUCAAGAAACAUGAAUAGUUGAACCUAAUCACAUGUGUCCUAUCCGUGUUAGACAUCGGACAGACCUAACUGUAACGGUAGUGUUGCUACUACAUAUAUAGGUGACUACAGGUUUUAAGAGAGGUUAAACCAUUUUGUUGUUCUUGCUAGAAAUAAUGUCCGAAUGGAAUAUGCAGGAAGCUGUUAUUAUAGGAGCACCAAUGGAUUAGAGUAUAAAAAAAUCAUUAAGGUCUCAUUUUGGGUGAUCAAUUGGCAUAGUCUCUUAUAGGGGAAAGAAGGCCUCCUUAGGAAAGAAUAGACAAAAUCUUCCUAAAAAGAAGCGAGGAUAUGCAUGUUUUCAUGAGAUGUAAGAUCUUUAAAAUGAUUGAUUAAACUAUAUAAAACUGGUUUUGAAGCUCAAAACAUGAGUCACAAAGGUGUAUGCCAGACCCAGUUUUGACAAGUUACAAUUAUUUCAUUUUGGUACCUACUGAACUAAUAAUUUGAUUUAGAGAUGGACCAUUUAGUUUGAUAUUGUAAUUGAAUUUGUCUCAUCCCAGUCGGUUGAAGAUAUAUGUGACAUUUGUACUGGUGGCCUUUCAAGAGAAAAUAAGACGGGCUUUGGAGGAUAUGGCACUGAUGAAAGUGGUCCUUGCAACAUUUCUAUUACUUUAUUCAUCGGUGGUCUGUCCGAUGGAUUCGUUUGAAUGCACCAUAGACUUACCAUAGUAAUCUUUCUAACCAUGUCAUUUUCUUCUUCGGAGAUUGUCAAACAAUUUAAAAGAGGUUCAUUACCUUGCUCAAGAUCCUUAUAAAUCCAAUCUGGAAAGUACAUUUCAGAAGCACAUGAACCUCCUGUGUCGUAGUUCUUCCUACCUCCGAUAAUUUCUAGAAUCAGCAUGCCAUAACUAUACACAUCAGACUUGUGAGAAACUCCACCAAAGGCUCUAAUGAAUAUUUCUGGUGCCAUAUAUCCUAUAGUUCCUCUUGCCCCUAGCAUUGACACAGUACUAUCCUUCUUUCGGCAUAUUUUUGCUAGUCCAAAAUCAGAUAUUUUUGGACAAAAAUCUUCAUCCAAAAGAAUGUUUUGGGGUUUGAUAUCAAGAUGCAGAAUCCUCGAACUACAUCCUUGAUGCAAAUACUCUAAACCUCUAGCAAUGCCAACUGCAAUUUGGAACAAAGUGUUCCAAUCAAAAUCAUAUAUAGCAUUAGGAAAUUGGCUUCUAUAGAUAAACUUACCCAAUGAUCCUUUGGACAUGAAUUCAUAUAUCAAUGCUCUUUUGUUCACCUCAUAGCAAAAGCCUAAAAGUGAUACAAUGUUGAUGUGUGAUGUUCUACUAAUGCUAGAAACUUCAUUUAUGAAUUCUUCUCCAUUUCCCUUAGUUUCAUUUAUUACUUUCACCGCCACAUGACGACCAUCACUUAAACAUGCUUUGUACACAACACCAUAUCCUCCUUGACCUAAUUUAUCUCUCGAAAUGAGUUUGUGAUCCUUUUUACUUCUGUGUAACUAUAUCUUGGCAUUGAUAACUUAUAACUUUGCAUGAAAACCUCCACAUUGUGGUCAACCAGUUUUCUUCUUUUUCUGAAAAUAUUAAGUGGAAUAAGGCUUUCUUGCUUGAAAAUACUCAUUUGUUGUCUGCCUUUACUCUUUUUAAAGAGACAGCUAAUCAUAAUGAUUAUGAACACGUUACUCCAAAUCCAGCAACUGAAGCACCUGAAUUUAUGCAAAGAAGAUAAAUAAUUUUCAUAAGCCCCUAUAAUGCGGGAUGAUAAACACUGAUAGUAGAAAGUGAUAUUGUUAAUUAUUCUUACCUAUUACAAGCCCCCGGUUCCGUUUUGAACCUACAAUUCAAAAAUUAAAUUAGAUAGAACUUAUAAUAAUCACGCUCAUGCAUUAUCUGGAAGAGAAAUAGUCAUUUCUUUUCUUAUUGCUUUGUAUUUUUGCAGUAGAAAUGAAGAGAAAUUGCCUUCAAGUUUGUUUGCAUGAAUCAUGAUGCUAUAGUGCACGCUUUGAUGAAGAACAUUUUUCGAUUUUUUUUUUGGAGUAAAAACAAUGUUGAGCAAUAGACACUCAUGUUAAUUUUGAUGGAGAGAACAGAGUUAGCAAUGCACCUUGAAGAGAUUAUGGGCCUUUUUGAAACACUUUUUAAAAACACUUUUCUAGUUUUUAAAAAUUAAAAAAUUAAAAACUUGUUUGAUUACCUAUUUUUAAAAUAUAAUUUUUGAAAAGUGUUUUGGGAACUUAAAAAGGGAAAGAGGUAAAAUGGGUUUUGCUUUUCUAUUUUGGUUUUUUCUAGAUUACCUUUGAAGAAUGGUGGAUAAUUUACCCACUAACCAAUGAAAAUGAGCAAUUUAUUGGUGGGGUCAAGAUAGUUCAUGGAUACCACUUAAAAAUGUGCUUAUGUGGCUAAUGUGUAUUGGUUGGGGUAAAUUACCCACCAUUCUUCCAUAAGUACCCUAGUUCUCACCUUCUAUUUUUAGUUUUGAAUUUUUAAAAUAGAGAAGAAAAAAAAGAAGAAAAGGGAAAACACGGAGAAGUUGCUGUUUUCUCAAGACUGGUGCUAGUCACACCCCAAAAAAAACAAGUUACACCCCAGAAUGACUAAUAUACCCUUUAAUUAAAAUAAAAAAUUCAAAUUAACUAAAUUUACAUUAACGUAAAUUGAACAUAAAUAAACUUAAUUUACAUUAACCUAAAUUGAACAUAAGUAAACUUAAUUUACAUUAACCUAAAUUGAACAUAAGUAAACUUAAUUUACAUUAACCUAGAUUGAACGUAAGUAAACUGAAUUUACAAACUGAAUUUACAUUAACUAGAUUGAACGUAAGUAAACUGAAUUUACAUUAACCUAGAUUGAACAUAAGGAAACUUAAUUUACAUUAACCUAGAUUGAACAUAAGUAAACUUAAUUUACAUUAACCUAGAUUGAACGUAAGUAAACUGAAUUUGCAUUAACCUAGAUUGAACGUAAGUAAACUGAAUUUACACUAACCUCUUAUAUACAUACGUAAACUAAAUUUACAUUAACCUAAAUUGAACAUCAGUAAACUUAAUUUACAUUAACCUAGAUUGAACGUAAGUAAACUGAAUUUACACUAACCUAAAUUGAACAUACGUAAACUUGAAUUUACAUUAACCUACAUACAUAAACUACACUAACCCCUUUUAUAUACAUACACGUAAACUUAAUUUACACUAACCUCUCACUUAAAAUCAAAUUGACAGGCAUAUCUCAUACCAAAACAAACAAUAAACAAAUAAAAACUCAUCGAAAAUGAAAUUCAUGAAAUUCACUAACCUUUAUGAAUAUAGUACAGAUCAAUAACAAAGAUGUUGAUUCAGAUAUUGGUUGCACAUAUAUGGUGAUUUGUGGAUGAAAGGGGGUAAGGGUUCAGAAUGAUCAUAAAAGAUGGGUUUUUAAAAAUUUACAUGAAGAGGGCAAUUUUGGUAUUAUUGUAAAAUUUUAAAUAAAUUUGGGUGUAACUUGUUUUUUUUGGGGUGUGACUAGCACCAGUCUUUUCUCAAUGGCAUAGUUGUAAAUAGGUUUGAAGUAUAGGGGUAUUUUCAUUUUUUUAUCAAAAAAAUUUGGAUCAGAAAAUUUCUUCCUCAUUUGACAAAACACGACCGUGAGAACACAUAGAAACGAAAAUGGCGAUCUCCACCGCGAUUCUUCCACGAUCUCCGCCGUAAUUCUUCUUCGAUCUCCGCCGUGCUUUUUUCAGGUUACAUCUCAAACCUUGUUCUGUUCUUCGAUCUGAAUUUGACUACUAAAUUUAUAGCGAUUUUUCACUUGAUUUUGUGUUUAUUGGCGUUUAGAUCUCUGAUUUUCAAUUAGGUUAAUUUGUAAAUUUGAUAUUGUGGUAGAAUUUGAAUACAAAGCACACUAUAAUAUACUCUAGAAGCUUUGAAUGCUGGAAUUCGAUACAUGUAGACAAAUUAUGAAUGUUCAAAUUUUGUGAUGUUUUUUUUAUAUGUUGUUGUGUUUGAUAAACUUUGAUUUACCUUGUUGCUUAUAUGUUGUUGCUAUAUGUUCAUGAUGACUCUGCUCUAGAACUGUGUUAGGAUCAUGGAAGAGUGUUAUUUGAGCUAAUAUUUUAUUUUGUGUCACUUUACAUGCUAUCUUGGAAGCUCAAUUUGUGAUCUACGAUAUGGUUUUUUUGUUUAGAAUUAUUUUUACUGUGUGAGUGAGUUUCAACUGUAAUAAGAUGCAAGUACAAUGGUUGUGAAUGUUGUUUCUGAUUGUGUUUAGCUGAUUAUGAUUAUGAAAAUGAGUUGAAAACAACUCAUGAAAAUUGUCAUAGCUGGUUUCAUAAAUUCUGCCAUAGAAGGAGUGAGUUUUUUUAUAGUUUCACUAAACAGGUUGUUCAAGAAUUUCAAGUAGUAUGAAGAAUUUCAAGGAUUUUAUGAAUGCGAGGAUUCCAUGUUCGACUAUGGCAGUUUCUAUGAUGCAUUACAUUUACUUUAAUGUCUUUGCUUUCUAUCCUUAACUACCAAAAUAUGCCUAUUUUCUUCCAUGGAUAAUAAUUUAUGCUCUCUACUUUUGCAUGGAUGUUUUUGUGGCAUUUGUCUAUUAUGGAUAUUGAUUUAAUAGAUGUUUUAUAUGUCACUUAACUAAGUUUAUAAAGACAUGUGAUUAUUUCAUGGAUAAUAAUUUGUGAUGUUUCUAAAAAAAAUUAUGUGAUAUGUGGCUUUAUUGUUCUUAGCAUCACUUUUUUAUAAAAAGAAAAUGAAAUAAUACAUUUUGAAAUAAGGGUUAGGCCGACCCAUCGAACUGUGUAGCCCACUACUAAUUGGGCUGAACUCAAUUUUGACAGUCCAUGAAUAAAGUGGGCCGACCCCCUUCAACCUAUUUAUUUAUAUGUGUGAAUUCUGCUCUUCUCCCAACAGAAACGUUCGCGCCCAACUGAACUUCCCAAAAUACCCAUGCGUGAGUUAAGUCACGCAUCUUAUAGUUGACCCCAUUAAGUGGGAAAAGGCAUUUAUUUUGCUGUUCUAUACUCAAAUUCUUGUAUGAAUACAUGAAGAAAAACAACACCCGCCUCUAUAUUAAUGUCGGAUUUAAGUUGUUGGGUGGUUUGUUCUAUUCUACCUGGUUUGUGAGUAAGUAAGUAUUCUAGCUUAGACCGGGAUUGCGUUCUAAUCUGCAUAGAUACCAUUUGCGUAUAACUUCUCAAUUGAGACUGUGAUGUAUGGAGGAAUUUAUGGUGCUCACGCAUAGGGGUGGCAAAAAUACCCAUGCCCAUGGAUACCCGUGGGUAAAAUCCAUCACGGGCACGGACGGGUAGCUAAACGGGUAUCCAUGGGUAUAAUUAACGGGUAUUUGACUACCCAUUAUUAUAUGAAUACGGACACGGAUUUGAUGGUACCCAUACCCACGGGUACCCAUACCCAAUAAUAAAUUAACUUAAUUACUAAAAUAUCCUUAUAUAUCUUAUUAUUAACCUAUUUUUAAUUUUUUUUAAUUUAUAUUAUUAAGUUGACAGAUUAAUUUAUAUUAACCUAUUUGGAUAUUUUGAUGUUUUUAUUUUACUUCAUGAAUUUGUAUGAAUUAUGUAAGAAUUAUGAAUUUCCUAUGGAUUAUGAUUUAUGAAAUUUUGAAUAGAUUAUGUAUGGAUGUUUAAAAGUAGUUGAAGUUUUUUGUUAAUUAAAAAAAGUUAUUCUUUGUUCCAAAAACUAAAUAAAUUCAAAAAUCCAUGGGUACCCACGAAUACCCAUGGAUACUUCAAUACCCACGGGUACCCACAUAAUGGGUACCCAUGUGGGUACGGGGCGGGCAUGGGUAUCAUGUUUAUCCAACGGGGCGGGCACGGGUAUCAUACUAUCCGUGAGUCACGCAGCGUUAGUUAAGUUGUGCAAAUUUUAGCAUUUGCGUUACUUAUCUAACACAAAGGUAUUUUCAGUAUUUCAGUUGGGCGCGAGCAAACCUUGUUGAGAGAAGGGCAGAAUUCUAUAUGUGCUGACUCACUGGAUCAAGGCAGGCUAGGCCGAGUCGACUCAUUUGACAGCUCUAUUUUUUAUGUCAAAUAAUUACUUUUUUUUUUUUAGCAAAUGUCGAAUAAUUACUUAACUCUACUGGUAAACAACACAUUACGACCCGUAAGUUGCAAUAUUCGAACUUAAUUGUAGAAACAAACAUAAACAAGAGUUUGAGAAAGUGAUAUUAUAAACUUACUUGAGGAUGAGACUAUCGGUGAAUUGCAUGUUGUUGCAUGAAGUCCAUCCUUGGAGAAACAUCUAAAUUCAGUUCUUCCAUCGUUCCCACAAACUCCACUAGAAUCAACGCAACUCUGGCACUCUCCAUAGUUUCCGGUCCAUAUUAAUCAAAUGGUAUAAUUGAAAAAAUAUUAUUAACAUGUGAUAUUCAUUUCAUUUGCUCUAUAAUCAAAUUCACUUGUCAUUAAUGGUAAAUUACCACCCAAUUUAUCAUGGAGUAACGUAGACCUCACCAACGUAAUAAAUAAAAACGAUUGGUUUUGAUGUCGAAUAACUACUCACCUCUACUAUUUUCUUUGUUUUAAAAUGAGUGUCACUCUAAAAAUAAAAUAAAAGGGCAACCCGGUGCACUAGAGCUCCCGCAUAUGCAAGGUCCGGGAAGGGGUCCCACCAUUUAUUGUAUUGUACGCAGCCUUACUCUGUUUUACACAAGAGGUUGUUUCCAGGACUUGAACUCGUGACCUUUCAGCCUAAAAAAAAGUUUCAAAAAAAAAAUGUUACUUUCAAUUUUCACAAUAUCAGUUACAUCUUUCCAAUUAUACUCUUAUAUACACUACUAUAUAAAUAGUAUGUUUACUUUGUAUUUAUGAUAGUAAAAAAAACACCAAUAUAGUUGAUAGAGAUAGUUUGUCAAAAAAAAAUUAUUUAAAUCAGUUAAUGCCCUGCACAUGCUUUUUCAUCAUUAUCACAUUCUCUUCCCCAAAAAAAUAUUGUUGCCCAGACAGAUUGAUUCACUUGCAUCUAGUGAGAAAGAAAGGAAACCAUGUCCAAAUAUUAAUUGAUCAUGCUCAGCUGGUCACUAUUAAACUUGUUCCACUGGAUUCUUCAACUCUCUUCUUCACAAGCUCUCGACAAAGACUGCCCCCUCCUGCCGUUGAGAACCGUCACCGGAAACGGAAAGUGUGUUUUAACUUUUAUGAAUAAGAGAGCAACAUAUAUCACCUAAAAUGAAUCAAAACCACCGAUCAAAUAAUACACCUCUUCUCAAAAGGGUUUAGUUGCUAUACUUUACCCAAUUCGCCCAGAUUUAUCAAGAAGGGGAUAAAUCUUUUCAUUUUGCAAUUGAUAAAACAAAAAACUCCAAUAUGCUAUCAAAUGGCAAAUUGAUAGAUCAAUUUGAAUUAUGAUGGUGUUUGGUUCGGGUGAAGUUCACAGUUGGUGUUGAACGCUGUGGUCAAGGGAGGCGGAGGAGAAAGUUGGAGGAGAGUUUUGUGGCUGCCAACGAUGAAUGAUUUAAAGGAUAAAGUAUUGGAUUGUUGCUUGGGUUUUCAAUUGAGAUCAAAGUUCAUGGAAGUUGUUUGGAGGAGUGUUUAAGAUGCAGAAAAUAAAAUUAAAAAAUAUAUAAAUAAGUGUUAACUUAGAGAACCGGUAAACCAGUAACCCAUUUUGAAAAAGUGGUGACGUGACCGAAUGAGGGAGUGAGUUUCCAAUAGCAAUAGGGACAGUCAAAGUGACUGUGCAUAGCAUUCCUCUUCAUCAAAUGUAGACAAUGUAUGAAUAUUGUUGGUACAUCAAAUUAUCAUAGUGUUGCAAUUCAUACUCCAAUAACAAUUGCUUUUUUGACAUAGAAAAAUUUUCUAUUGACACAAGUAAAAUACUAAAAUGCCCCAACGACAAUUCACAACCGCUCAAUGAUACGUCGGCAGUUAAUAACCGCUAACACCAACGGCAAUUAACUGCCGUUGAGAACUGCAUCUUAAAAACGCAGAAACUGCAUAACCAUAAACACAUUCACUCCAAAUUCAAAAACAUCCCAAGUUCAAAAACAUACCAAAUUCACCCAAACCUUCAUUUGCACGAAAAUCAUCCAAUUUGCUUCAAGUAAAUCACAAGUAAGUACCUUUCUUCCUAUUUACAUGCAAUGUAGGUUGUUUAGGGUGUUAUUUUCAUAAUUUUAGCAAAUUGUUUAGGGUUUAGGUUAGGUUUAAAAAUUGCAAAUUAUUAUAGAAUUAGAUGUUGUAAUUGAUUGUUUAUGCUGGCAUUGUUGUUUAGGGUAGGUUUAGGUGCAAUGUAGUUGAAUUUGAUGUUGAAUUAACACUAAUUGUGCUAGUAUUUUGAAAUGCACAUAAGGUGUUUGAUGAAAUGCCUAAGUGAGAAAACCUUGCUUUUUUGUGAAUUUUUUUCUUCAAAUAUGUUCAAUUUGAUAAUGUAUGUAUGUUAUAAUGAUUAUAAGUUUGCAUUUUUGUUUUUUUUUUUUGGCAAGUUUGAUUAGUUUGGACAUAAUGAUAAAAUAACCGUAUAUUUGUGUAAUGCAUAUAUGUUAUGAUGUUUAUAAGUUUGUUUUUUUGGGAUUUUUUGGCAAGUUUGAUGAAUGACAUAAUGUGGUAUCUUACAUAAAGUUGGAUGAAUAUGUUAAAUUAGAUUUUAUGAAUGCCUAAGUUUAAUUUAUCAUAUAUGCAUAAGUUUAAUUUGUGAUAAUGUAAGGGUUAGAACAUUGCUCCAUAAUUUUGGCAUAAUGAUAACCAUAAUGUAGAAUAACCAUAAUGUGAUAAUGUAGUUAGAUUAGGUUUGAUGAAUGCAUAAGUUAGAUUGGGUUAGAACCAUUGUUCCACAUAUUUAUGUUUUUUUAAAUUUGUUUUGUACAGAUAUGGCUAGGGAUACGGAUGAGCAGCAACGUGUUAUUAGAGAGGAUAGGAUGCGGAAAGGUAAAGCGGCGAGUACCGCUAGCGCUCGGAGAGAAAAGGGGGAUCAAAACCCGUAUGUCCCUAAGACUCGGAAGCGCAGGGACCCGAGGAUAGAUGGAGAGGGCUCACAAGCACAGGUGGAUUACUCCUCCCAGGUGGUUGAUCCGACACCAGCGCAUGAUUAUGUUGGGUAUGCAGAUGAGGCUUUUGCUGGAUAUGAUCGGAUGAAGGAGGAUAGGAUAUUUUAUCAGCCGCAUGACGAGGCAGAGGAUGAGGAGGUGGGAGAUGAUGAGGGGGUGCCAGAGGAUGUUGUGGCAGGGAGAGGAGCAUGCCAGGGAGAUGCCUGACACACUGACGAUCAUCCGGGAUGUGGUGCAAAUUGCUGACGAUAUUGUGGCUAGCCAAGCCGAGAUGACUAAAGAGGAGAUCGUCUAGGAUUUGAUGCGGAUAGCUAGUACUAGUCGCCCUGCCCUUACUUAUCAGAUUUCCAGGCGGCGCAGGGGUAGAGGCAGGGUAGGCAGCAGGGCUGAUUAUUAUUAGGCUUUUUUAUGUAUUUUUUUGACUAUGAUGAUGAUGAUGUAUUAUUAUGACAUUUUCAUAUUUCUAUGACAUUUACGUACGUUUGUUUUAUAUUAUUUCUUGCGUUUUAAUUUUACCAUUUUCCUAUUAAAUAUUAGAUGAAUAUGUUUAGGUAUCAAUUGGUUAUUAGAUGAACAUUUUAGAUGAAUUUUCAAUUGGUUAUUGGAUGAAAAUCUUAGAUGAAUUUGUUUAGAUGUCAAAGGAUUUGGUUUGGUUAGGAAAGACACUGGAAAAUGGAAAAUGUGGCUCUGGAAAAUGAUCAACACGUAGCGGUUGUUAACAACCGCUAGACUCCAACGGGAGUUAACUGCCGGCGCAUGUCCUAACGGUUGUUAACAACCGUUGGGGACAUUUAUGUAUUUUACUUGUGUCAAUUGGAACUUUUCAAUAUCAGAAAAACAAUUUUCUACUCCAAUUAAGUCUAAAAGAGAACCCAAACCAAAGUCCUGAAUUUUUGAGUUAGUACUUUGUGCUAGAAACUAAACAUAUAGCAUUGAAAAUAUCUUAAAAUUUUUUAUGCAAAACAUGACGAAGUUUUUCAUUGACUCCCAUAAAGUGUUUGACGGCUUUAGAAGUAGAAAUUUAGUGUCUAAGGCCUAAUAUAGUAACUUAAAAAUGCUCAUUAUACAAUUUCAUAUAAUGCUCAUUCACACAAAUAUAGUGACCCAAAAUUAUAAUAGUAUCCCAGUAGAAAUAAAUAAAUAAAAAUUAAGAGUUUGGGAGGACCGUGGUCUCUAUUGGUUCCUCUUCUAGUUCUGUCUCUGUUGUAAUUGAAUUUGUCUCUUGCCAAUCUGAUGAAGACAUAUUUGAGAGUUGUAGUGGUGGCCUUUUAGGAGAAAAUAAGACAGGUUUUGGAGGAAAUGUGACCGAUGAAAGCGGUCCUUGUAGCAUUUCAAUUACUUUAUUCAUUGGUGGUCUAUCUAAUGGAUUUGUUUGAAUGCACCAUAGGCUCACCAUAGUAAUCUUUUUAACCAUAUCAUUUUCUUCCUCUGAAAUUGUCAAAGAAUUUAAAAGAUCAUUACCUUGCUCAAGAUCCUUAUAAAUCCAGUCUGGAAAGUACAUUUCAGAAGUACACGACCCUCCAGUUUGAUAGUUCUUUCUUCCUCCAAUCAUUUCAAGAAUCAACAUACCAUAACUGUAUACAUCAGAUUUGUAAGAAACACCACCAAAUGCUCUGCUAAAUACUUCUGGCGCCAUAUAUCCUAUAGUUCCUCUUGUCCCCGGUAUUGACACAAUACUAUCAUUCAUUUGACAUAUUUUUGCUAGUCCAAAAUCAGAGAUUUUUGGGCAAAAGUUUUCGUCCAAAAGAAUGUUUUGAGGUUUGAUAUCAAGAUGCAGUAUCCUUGAACUACAUCCUUGAUGCAAGUACUCUAAACCUCUAGCAAUGCCGAUAGCAAUUUGGAACAAAGUGUUCGAAUCAAAAUCACAAACAGCGUCAGGAAAUCCACUUUUAUAGAUGAAUUUGUCUAGUGAUCCUUUGGGCAUGAACUCAUAUAUUAGUGCUCUUUUAUUUGCCUCGUAACAAUAACCUAAAAGUGACACAAUGUUCAUGUGUGAUGUUCUACUGAUGCUAGCAACUUCAUUUAUGAACUCUUCCCCAUUUCCUUUUGACUCGUUUAUUACUUUCACUGCCACUUGACGACCAUCCGUUAAACUUGCUUUGUACACAACACCAUAUCCUCCGUGGCCUAAUUUAUCACGGAAUGAGUUUGUGAUCCUUUUUACUUCUGCAUAACUGUAUCUUCUCGCAAUAGAUAAAUUGUAACUUUGCAUGAAAACCUCCACAUUGUUGUCGACAUGUUUUCUUCUUUUCCUGAAAAUAGUCAUUUGCGGUCUACGUAUACCCUUUUUAAAGUAACAACUGAUGAAAAUAAUAAAGAACAUUGUUACUCCAAAUCCAGCAACUGAAGCACCUGAAUUUAUGCAAAACAUAUAAAUAAUUUUUAUCAGUUCUUUUAUAAUACAAUUAACGUACCUGAAAGUGGGAUGAGAAUUGAGAAACACAGAUUAUAGAAAGUGAUAUCGUUUAUUAUACUUACCAAUCACAAUUAACCUCCUGUCCCGUUUUGACCCUACAUUUCAAAAAUCAAAUUAGAUAGAACUUAUACAUUCAUUGUUUAGUAGAGAAAUGCACAUUUAUUCUCUCAUUGCUUUGCAUUUUUUAGCAGCAAAGAAGACAAAUAGCCUCCAAAAAUCUUAUACAUGCCACUAUUGUAGGCUUUGAUGAAGAGCAAAUUUUGGAUGUUUUUGGGGUAAAAGCAAUGUUGAACAACAAAUUCAUGUUGAUUUUGAUAGGGAAAACAGAAAAGAAAGACCGCAGGCUUUGGACAAAUGCACAAUCUAUAGAAACAUAUAACUACUUUGUUCCUCUAACAGAGAAGAAAAACUCUAGUCUUUGGACAAUGCACAACCUGUUGAAACAUAUACUUUGAAUCUAUGUUAUUGUCAUUUCUAAAGUGACACUCAAUCAAUAUAAGUUUUAUUUUCGAUGACUCUUCCAAUUUAUCUAGAACAAGCUCACAUAAGAAUACGUUGAAAAUACACUUACUUUUUAUGAGAUUAGCACAACUAUUUCACUUGACUAUAUUUUCUAAUAAGUGAGGAGUUAGUUAUUUGUGCUUAUUAUCAAAACCAGAGCUAGUAUGACUCAUUUUUAUAUAUGUGUGUCCAAAUCAAUUUUAUUUGAUGUUGUGAUCGAGCAAUUGCUCCCGAUCAUAAGGACCAAAAAAAAAGUCUAAUUACUACUUAACUCUACGCUUAAGCCAUUGAGCAGUGCUAUAUCUCGCUAUACAAAAGAUUCGCGAAAGCCAUGAAAACAUGGGUGUCAAUAUGUAAGAACAAAAUAAAGAAACUUUCAGGAUGAUACCUUUCACUAUACAUUAAGCAAUUUCCUAACACAUUAGGGGAUAAGUUGCAAUAUUACAGCUUAGUUGUAGAAACAAAAAUAUAUAGGAGUUUGAGAAAGUGAUAAUAUUUACAUACUUGAGGAUAAGGGCAAUGGUGAACUGCAUGUAGUGGUAGAAGUUCCAUUCUUACAGAAACAUUUGAAUCCAAUUCCUCCAUCGUUGCCACACACUCCACCGGAAUCAACACACUUCUGACACUCACUAUAAUUUCCCGUCCAUUUCAACUCAAAACCCUUUUCUAAUGCUUGGUUUACAUCAUUAACCGUUGCAAUUUUCGCAGCUUGGGUGUCCAAAAUCGGAAUCUCAACAACACUCCUCGGUAAACUUGUAUUGUAAUUGUAUAACAAAGUUACUUUAGACGAAGUAUUACCAUAACGUUGAAAGAAAGUGUUGUUGAAUGUGCUGUUCUUAUGAUUGUCACUCAAGGCACAUAUAUUACUCCAGUAAUCAUCUCUUGCAACUCUAAGUCUCAGUGUUGCAUUGUUCCAUUCAAGAAUACGAUAUUUCACGAAAUUGAUCGUUAUCUUCGGGACUUUUCCUUCGCAUGUAAGCUUCAUAUUAGGAUCGGAAACACCACAAUAAUUUCCUCUAUUUUCUCCCCAGAAUGGAUAUUCAAGAUUUGUGAUGUUGCUUUCACAGUUAAAAGUUUUGCUACAGUUUGUGUAUUGGUUAUUAUCAACACAAAGACACUUUGGAAUAUUGAUGAUUGAGAUCAUCAAUAUUAUGGAGUAAAAGAAAAUAACAAUGGAAGAAGAAUGAUGAAUCAAAGGUUUCAUUCUUGGGCUAGAACAAAGAAGUAUGUGGUGGAACAAAGUGUGAGUGAUAAGAUUGGUUUUGGUGUGAUAAAAAUAUAGAAUUGACUUAGUCAACUUAAAAUUAAUGAUAGAGUUGAUUCAUUCAACUCUUCACCUUUCACUUUCAACUUUAGUUAAAUGCGUGAUAAUUUCAACACUUUCUUCUCUGAUUUUUCUACGAAACCGAAUAGAAACUUCAAUGUAGUAUUGAAGUCAAUGAUGAUGUUAACUCUCUUCACAUUGUCAUGUGUUACAUUUAAUUGUUACAAUCUAGUAAUUGAAGAAACAAAAAUAAAAGAAAUUGAUUAACUCUUUUUACCCCAUAAAGGAAGGAAAAGACUAACGGGUGCUUCAGUACCGGUGGUUCGAUGCUGGUUAAAGAUACUAAAAAACAAAAUUAUAUAAUAGUUAUAUGGUAGGGACAAUGCAUAAUAUAUAUAUAUAAGAUUUAAAGUUUAAAAAAAAAAAACAAGCUAACACCUCAAAUGUACCUUAUCAAAUAAUUAUUCAUCAUUAUCAUCAAAUUAAAGUAGACAAUAUUGACUUCAAAAUAAUAUACAAAUAAUAAUUAGAAUAUAUUUGUCUCUUUCUUUACCUUUGUGGUCCUUUAGUUACGUUUGUAGGCCUUAAGGCCUCCACGUUAGCUUAUUUGUGUGGUUUUGAUUGGUGUGGUUUUGGUCUUAGCUUUGUGUUUUGGUGGAAGUAUGCAAUCUUUCUUAGAAAGUGGUCAACUCUUUUUCACGUAGUUGAGUCCGGACUUCUUAAGAUAUGUGUUUGUUUUAAGUUUACCAAAUUUAUUUUUGGGAAUAACAUUUCUUGGAAUAUAAAGAUAGGAAUUUUAUUUCAAGGUAUUUAAAAAAAAGAUGUUUGUUUAACAUUAUAAUAUACCUGGGAAUCAUAAAAAUAGGAUUUAUAAUAGACAAUUACUCAUGGAUUUAAAAAAUUUCUAUUCCAGGAACGUUUUAUACCUUGUAAUAAAAUUUAGUAAACUUGUAACAAAUAUAAGCAUUUGUAUUUCUAUCGUUUUAUUUUCAGGAAUCUAUGAAUAUAACUUGAAACAAACGCAUGGUAACCGAAAGAGUUGACCAAAUAAAUGUAAAAGAGUUGACCACUCAUAAUUUGCUUAUAGUAUCCUUUAAAAAAAACAAAUGUAAAGAAUAAUAAUUAUACUACACCGAAAAUUGGAUAAAAUAAAACUUCUUUUAGGGAUUCUUCUAAAAAAAAAAGCUUAUUUUCGUGUAAUUUUCCAAAUGUGACACUCAUAAUUAAUGAAAUAGAGAGUAAAUAAUAUAAUUCUUUUGGUACAAAAAGAGCAAAUAUGGGGCAUUUCGCCGGUUUAAGAGAUAUGAUGUUGGAAAUUCAAGGGUAAUUAUAUUGGAAAAUUGGUACAACACAACUGUCAAUUUGUGGUUAAACAAAUGACUCCAAAAUUGUAUAGCUAAUGUGCCGCCCGGAUCUUGUGCUCUACUAUUUCCAUCGUAGGUGGAGCCAGGAUUAUUUUUUUUUAAACAAGUUUUUUUUUUUUUUUUAAACCAGUUAUGGUAGAAUAUAUUAUAUCAUUAAAGAUGAUUCAUCUCGUAUAGGGUGUGCAAAAGAGAACCAUCCAUAAAAAAAAUACAGCUAAAUGUCUGUGCCAUAAGUGGGCACUCCUGAAUAAAAACAAAGCAACACAAGGCUAAAAUAAAACACCCAUACAAGGUAAAUGGUGCCGCCACCGGUCGUGGUAACUAAAAGCAUAAGUAGGCUUGUUUGCCUUUAACCAAGAAAAAGACAACAAUUUAAUAUUAUCUACUAAAUAAUCCAAAGUAUCAAUCUUCUGGUUAAAAAUCAUGUUCUUUCUUUCCUUCCAGAUAACCCAGACAGUAGCCAUUCAGAUUACCGUUAGAAAAGAGUGAAUAGCUCGCGGAAACCCCGCCGAAUGAAAAAACUGAUGAAGAUGAUCGGAGAUAGACACUGGAGCAAUAAAAGAAAUGUCUAGCCACACCACUCCAAAAUGAGGACAAUGAAAUGGGAGAUGAUCCACUGUCUCGGGAGAAUCACAACCAGCAAUGCAAGAUAUGUCGUCGAGAGGAAUGAUGCGCCGACGGAAGAGGUUAUCUUUAGUUGGCAUUCGAUUGCGGAGAAGUCGCCAAACAAAGAUAGAAACCUUAAGCAGAGCUUCCUUCACCCACACAUCGUCAAACCGACCACGUUCGGAAGGCACACCUGGCGUCGUGAGAUAAGCAUAAGUACCCUUCACGGAGUAGCCAUGUAAAGGAUCCAGCAUCGACCGCCACCUGUCAAUAGUACGGUCUUGCAAAACAACAUUAUGCAACAGAGAUGCACACUAAUAUCAGGGGAAUCGAAUACAAAGAAUAUAAUUUGAUUAAAACAAUAACUGUUUAAAUAUAAAAGGUAUAUAUGAAAUCCUAAACUAAUAUUUUUUUGUUUGUUAAAGAAAUUUAUAACUAUAUUUAGUAUGAGAGACAUUAAUCAAUAAAUAUAUUUAAGAUACAAAAAAAUAGGAGUGCAUAUGUUCUAGGGUUAAAUAUGUUUUUAGAUCUUACAAAAUCAUACACUUAAAAUGUAAUAGGGACUAAACUUAAAAUCUCAUAAUUUUGUAAAAACUAAAAACAUAUUUAACCAUAUAUUGUGUACGCAACUUUGAAAUUUAUUUCAAAAAGAGAAUUUGGAAAUGAAAAGUGUAUUUCUAAGGACACACAAAAAUGACAAUCGACUAACCAAACAAAUGAGCUCAAGUGGUUAACGAGUUCCACCAAAGGAUAAAUUAUUCAGGAGAACCUGAGUUUGAUUCUUGAUUGGAACAAAUUUUAUCUAAUCUUUAUUUACUUCCUAAUCAAACACUAGAUUACCAUGACCCAUUUACCAUGAGAACUGGAGGAUUAACACAAAAAAAUAAAUGAGAUAUAUCAUUAUGAUUAAUUUUAUUUAAAAUGUGUUGUAUAAAUGACCGUAUUGAUAUAUUUGACGAAAUAUGACAUAAUUUAAAAUAAUAUGAAAUAUAAAAUUAAUGAUGCUUGUUGCCAACUAAUCUAGUAACAUGGUAAAAAAAUAAACAUUUUGCUGGCAAAAAAAAUAAACAUUUUAAUUAGAUUAAUUGGGGAGACCAAGGCCUAAUUGUACUUAAUGAAACAUUUUCAAUAUUUUUUUUGAUGAAACAUUUUAAUGUACUUUAGUUGUAGCGGCGUAUAAACAAAAAUAUUGAAAAUGUGGGGGGAUCACGGCCUCUAUUAGGGCCCCCAAUACCUCAGCCACUAUAGCUGACUAUAUCAUAGAUGGAAAUUGGUAUUUUUCUAUUAUUAUGUAGAAAAAAUUUCGUCACACGUGUGAACUCACCAAGAACAUGAUUAUUUCAACUUUGUUCAAUUCCAGACACUAGAGUUUGAGAUCACUCCAAAUCUAAAAUUCUGAUAUUAAAGAUAUUUAGCAGAUAAGGCCUCUUAAUUAGAGUUUCUUGGGGCAAAUUCGUUUCUAAACAAUUUGACAUGCAGUGCGGAAUGGACAUUGAUUUAGAUAUACCCACGGAAAUUUACAGUGGUAUUGGGUUGUUGGUAAAAUCUCAAAUACUUCAUCCGUCUCAAAAUAUAAGCAAAUUUUAUUUUGUAGGUUCAUUUAAUUAAUGAUGUAUGUAGUUCAUAGUAUUGAUUAUAUACCUCAUUAAUUGAAGACUAUUAUUUUUCCCAUCCUAUGGCCUUCUCGCACGCCCUAUGUAAAUUAUGAAAAUGUCUUUUGGAUUAUAAAAUCUGGAACAUGAAUGCAUGUUCUGGAAUAUAAAAUCCGGACAACUGCGAAGUAUAAAAGGAACUUCACCCUCCAUUUUUACAGUUUCACUUUCACCAUUCACUCUCUUUCUCUCUCUACAUUAUCCCAAAAUCCGAACAUCACAAAUCUUGUCCAAAUUUGAAGUUUUGUAGCUCAAAAGCACCGCAUUUCAACCCUUGUCAAACAUCAUGGAAGGUAAGUUCGAUUUCUGUACAUUUGCAUGGUUAAUUUGAUAGUUAUUUUUUUUGGAAUUCUGGUUGGAUGCAAUCCGGAUUUGUUUUUCCGGACUAGAUUGUUAAUGUUCGGAGUUCGAAAUUCGGACAAACCCAGAACGGUUUUUUGCUUCUGUUUUGUGCUGUUUGAUUGUGUUGUUUGAUUGUGAUGUUUGAUUACCCUAAUUUGAAUGUUACAGAAGGUUCAACAUCUAAUACUCAGCGCGUAAGGGAUGCAGGGCAUGCUUCCCAUAGGAGAGCGCGUAGGCAACAGCUGGAGGAUGAAGGCGGUGUUCCUCCGAGGCGCUGGGGUGCUAGAGGACGUCGUGCUGAUGUCGAGCCUGAUGUCGAGCAUCAGCCGGAGAAGCAAGAGUAUAUGGAUUUGCAGCAAAAGCAGCCUGAAUGUAUAAAAAAAAUCGACACUUAUUCGAAAUGUUACGAAACUUUGCACAUCAUCUAUAUGUAUUUUUAUAGAGGUGUCUAUAAAGUUUCGUAGCAUUUCGACUAAGUCUCGAUUUAUUUUUAUUUUUCGACCGAACCGUGCAAAAUCACAAUUUUUUCAAGUGUGAGUCCGAAAAAGUGUCCUAGAGGUUAAACUUCUUCACGCUUUUUUGCACUCAUGUUUAGAACAAAAAAAUAACAUCUCCCACAAAAAAUUUGAAUUUUUUGACAAGGAACGGAUUAAAUAUGAAUUUUUAACGCGUCUAAAAUUAAAGACACGGAAACAUCAAAACAUCAACCUAAAAAUUGAAUUUUGAGCUGUUUUUUUUGCAGACACCUGUAUAAAAAUACAUAUAAAGGAUCUUCAAAUUUUCUUAGUAUUUCGAGUUAUCCUCAAUUUAUUUUGAAUUUUUUACUGAAACGCGUAAAAUUGCAAUAUUUUUUCAACUGCGCAUCCAGAAAAGUUAUAUAGAGGUUGAAUUUUUUUCAUUAUUUUUUGUUCACAUAUUAAGAACAUAGAAAAAACAUUUCCUGCAAAAAAUUAGAAUUUUUCGACAACGGAUGGAUUAAAUAUGAAUUUUUAAUGCGUCAAUAAUUCAAGAAACCAAAACAUCAAUACGUCGACCUAGAAAUUGAAUUUUGAUAUGGUUUUUUUUGCAGAAAACUCUAAAAAAACAUAUAUAGAGGGUCUGUAAAGUUUUGUAGAAUUCUGAAUAAGUUUCGAUUUAUUUUUGUUUUUUCGACUGAAACGCGUAAAAUCACAAUAAAAAGCAGCAAAGCUAGCGGCAGUUAACUGUCGGCGCAUAUGCCAGAGGCAGUUAACUACCGCUGGGGGUAAUUUGAUCAUUUACUUGUGUCAAUAGAAAAUAUUCAAUAUCAAAAAAGCAAUUCUCAUCAAACUUAGGAACCAAAACAGCAUUUAAACUUUAAAUAUAGAGUAGUAUUAUUUGAACAACUCUUUUAAACUCUUUUAGUACAACUUUUGUAUUAAAUAUGAAUUAAGCGUAAUUAAGAUAUGAGCAAUGCUAUUUGGCUCGACAACUUUUUCGUGGGAUACACGCAAAUCUAUUAUUAGCCAAUCAGAUAAUGCUAACUAUAAAAAGUCAAAGUGCUGGCCGGAAAUCAUGGUGCAUGUGGAAUAAACCAACAGUGAUGAUGCAUUCGGCCAUUCUCGUCUCUUACCGCAAAGCAUUUUUCUUAAGAUAUUUAUAGGCAAUUUCUAUGGUACACUCGAUAAUUUUGAGUGUACCGAUACACCCGUGUAUUUAAAUGAAUAGUUUAAUGAUUUAUUAUAAUAAUUAUAUUAUAUUUUUCAAAAGUGUCGGCAAAGCAAAAUUCAAAUUUUUUUAAUUUUUAUUACUCAUAAUAGUGAAUAUUGAUUAUUUUUUUCAAUAAAAUGUUAAAAAAUUUAGUAUAAUUCUUUAUAAAAAAUAAAAUGAUGUUUUUUCUUAUGGGAUAAUAUUUUCUAAAAAAUUAUCUUUAACUUAUAGAUUUAUAAAAUAGUGUACUGGUACACCUUAAUUGAAGGGUGUACCGUAGAAACUCAUAUUAUUAUAUGAUUAUUUAAUGUAUUAGUUCUUCAAAAACAAUUUCAAUAUCAAUAUAUAUACUUAACUCUCCCAAACUCUUCUCUCUAAACACGUUGAAACUCCAAAAUACCUUGCGAGUUUAAUCAAAAGUUUAGAGCAACCAUAAUUGCAUCUGCACAUAAAAACACUGAAAAAAAAUGAGUAUUAGAAGAAAUUAACCAUAAAAUAUUCUCUUCAAUUUUUUUUUAAAGAUUUUAGUCUUUGGUGUUUAGAGAGCGUGGGUUCAAAUAUUUUCCAUGCAUGAUUUGGUGUUUUAAGUUUACGGUUCAAAUAUCAGGAACAUGUUUGCAUCGUAGGCUGCAAUUUUUUCAAAAAACUGAGUUUCAAGGUGUUUUCUGCAGAUUUAUCUUUGAAUUAAGGAAGCUUUAAAUCAAAUGAUACAUUUCCAAUUGGUGCAAGUUUCAAUGCUCAUGAAACACUAUCACAAGUGCAUGUUUAGACAAGUAUGGUGCAUGACUUGAAUUCACAACAGAAAUAAUAAGAUUGAUAUAUAAAAAAUAAAAACAGUAAGUGGCCAGUUUAGAGUCAAUAAUUAAGCCACUACGAUCCCUAUAAUUUGUACAAAAUGGACUUUCAAGUUCAACAAAUUAAUUCCAUAUUUGUAUGCCAGAAAUAGUUACACAAGUUAAUUAGUCCAUUUGAUUUAUUGAAAGAACAAUUAUUUUGAUUCUGUUAUUGAUAUUGUCUCAUACAGAUCAGAUGAAGACAUGUCUGACACUUGUAAUUGUGGCCUUUCAGGUGAAUAUAAGACGGGCUUUGGAGGAUAUGAUAUUGUUGAAAGUGGUCCUUGCAACAUUUCUAUUACUUUAUUCAUCGGUGGUCUAUCUGAUAGUUUAGUUUGAAUGCGCCACAGACUCACCAAAGUAAUCUUUCUGACCAUAUCAUUUUCUUCCUCCGAGACUGUCGAACAAUUUAAAAGAGUAUUACCUUGCUCAAGAUCCUUAUAAAUCCAAUCUGGAAAGUACAUUUCAGAAGUACAUGACCCGCCAGUGUCGUAGUUCUUCCUUCCUCCGAUCAUUUCAAGAAUCAACAUGCCAUAACUAUAUACAUCAGAUUUGUAAGAAACUCCACCAAAUGAUCUAUUAAAUGCUUCUGGUGCCAUAUAUCCUAUUGUUCCUCUUGCCCCUAAUAUUGACACAAUACUAUCCUUCUUUUGGCAUAUUUUCGCUAGUCCAAAAUCAGAGAUUUUUGGGCAAAAAUCAUCAUCCAAAAGAAUGUUUUGAGGUUUUAUAUCAAGAUGCAGAAUCCUUGAACUGCAUCCUUGGUGCAAGUACUCUAGACCUCUAGCAAUGCCAAUUGCUAUUUGGAACAAAGUGUUCCAAUCAAAAUCACAAAUAGCGUUAGGAAAUUCACUUUUAUAGAUGAACUUAUC